AACGAACGCUGGCGGCAGGCUUAACACAUGCAAGUCGGACGCACCUUUCGGGGUGAGUGGCAGACGGGUGAGUAACGCGUGGGAAUCUACCCUUCUCUACGGGAUAGCUCCGGGAAACUGGAAUUAAUACCGUAUACGUCCUGAGGGAGAAAGAUUUAUCGGCAAAGGAUGAGCCCGCGUAGGAUUAGCUAGUUGGUGGGGUAAAGGCUCACCAAGGCGACGAUCCUUAGCUGGUCUGAGAGGAUGAUCAGCCACACUGGGACUGAGACACGGCCCAGACUCCUACGGGAGGCAGCAGUGGGGAAUAUUGGACAAUGGGCGAAAGCCUGAUCCAGCAAUGCCGCGUGAGUGAUGAAGGCCUUAGGGUUGUAAAGCUCUUUUACCAGGGAUGAUAAUGACAGUACCUGGAGAAUAAGCUCCGGCUAACUCCGUGCCAGCAGCCGCAGUAACAC
rnacentral:rRNA from 1 species